AUCUCAUGGUGAGGACAAGCCAUGAUGUAUUCUUAGAGCCUCUCCCAUGCCUCUAGUAUUAACUCAUUGUUGUCCUGCUGGAAACUUGAAAUCCUCUCGCGAAGGGC
rnacentral:snoRNA from 1 species